rnacentral:rRNA from 1 species
ACGGAGGGGGCUAGCGUUGUUCGGAAAUACUGGGCGUAAAGCGCACGUAGGCGGCGAUUCAAGUCAGAGGUGAAAGCCCGGGGCUCAACCCCGGAACUGCCUUUGAAACUAGAUUGCUAGAAUCCUGGAGAGGUCAGUGGAAUUCCGAGUGUAGAGGUGAAAUUCGUAGAUAUUCGGAAGAACACCAGUGGCGAAGGCGACUGACUGGACAGGUAUUGACGCUGAGGUGCGAAAGCGUGGGGAGCAAACAGG